rnacentral:rRNA from 1 species
CCUACGGGCGGCAGCAGUGGGGAAUAUUGCACAAUGGGGGAAACCCUGAUGCAGCGACGCCGCGUGAGUGAAGAAGUAAUUCGUUACGUAAAGCUCUAUCAGCAGGGAAGAAAUACUGACCUUACGGUCAGCAGACGGUACCUGAGUAACAACCCCCGGCUAACUACGUGCCAGCAGCCGCGGUAAUACGUAGGGGGCCAGCGUUAUCCGGAUUUACUGGGUGUAAAGGGAGCGUAGACGGUGCGCCAAGUCUGGAGUGAAAUGCCGCAGCUUAACUGCGUAACUGCUGUGGAAACUGGCGAACGAGAGUGCGGGAGGGGUAAGCGGAAUUACUAGUGUAGCGGUGAAAUGCGUAGAUAUUAGGAGGAACACCGGUGGCGAAGGCGGCUUACUGGACCGUAACUGACGUUGAGGCUCGAAAGCGUGGGGAGCAAACAGGAGUAGAUACCCCAGUAGUC